rnacentral:sRNA from 1 species
AUCAUUUCUUGGCCUUUUGGCUUAGAUCAAGUGUAAAAAGGAAUUAGCUAACUCUUAUUAUUAGACAAAUUGCAUCAAUUAUUUGAAUCCCUU